UAUAUUCAUUUAUGGCUUUGGGAUUGAAAGUCGUUAGACUGGAUGUACAUGGAGAGAACUACAAGUUAUGAAAGGAGACAAGAAACAACAGAUGGACGCAAUGGAGCUUUACCGUUGGAGAAAAAAAGAAACGUUGUAAAUGCAAUCUUCAACGAUGUUGAACGAUUAAAUUGCUUCAAUGCAACAAUACUAUGCAGGCAAAAAGGUUAAUUUAUAUUACAGCACGUUAUGUUCAGAGAAAAAUUUCACUUGGAGCAACUGUGCAGUCACUGUGAGUGCAGUGUACAAUGUUUAAAAGGGAACCUUUCUAAAUUUAGAAGGGAGGAAAAGUCUGACUUGUUAAAGCAUUAAUACCAAAUUGGAAUCAGGCUUUAGAUGUGUUACAUGGCUACUUGAAGCAUACGGAGUUGCUGGUCCGAACGAGAAGUUGCCACUCCAAUAUUUAACUUGGCUUCAAUUCUUUCCGUUUUUCUGGUGUUACGUACUUGGGGUACUUAGAGCGUAUGGAUUUUCCAGAAAAUGUAUUUCCUAAACUCACAAAAAGAUGUUCAAAAUGAAAGGACUUAAAAUAUCAUAAAACUAUAAAGUUUUUGAAACUCAGACGGUUGUAAAAACGGUGAAGAAGUCAAUAGUGUUGAAUUACUUGAAGACCGAAGAAUUUUUUUUAAACAGUUUAACUUUGAUGUUUGGCGCAAAAAAAUGAGUACAAUAAAGAAAAGUUUGCUGUUCACAUGAAGAACAUUGGAGAACUUAGAUAAAUUUUUGCAUUAUUACUAGAAGAGAUCAGGCUUUCACGGUUCCAGCAGUUAUGGGGAUCUUGGAAGAAGGGAAUUGUUCUAUGAAUAAUGGCGAUUAUAAAACGGCUAUUGAACAUUACAAUAAUUGUGUAGAAGUUGCAGACGAAAAUAGCCUGAAAACGAUAGCAUAUUUUGGUCUUGGUAAUGCUUACACACUCUCUGAUAAUUGCGAGGAGGGAUUGAACAGUUUUAAUCAUUGCUUAAAAUUUUCGUCUAAAGUUGAAAGUGAAUAUUUUGAACAAGUAUACCUUGGCCUGGGGAGUGUUCAUUCUACCAUUAAAAGAUUGGAGGACGCAAUGAAGAAAGAUGAAAUGGAAUGUCUCUGCCAUAUUGCAUUGGGAGGAUUGAACAAGUCGCUCGGAAAUUAUGAGCAAUCUUUGGAGCAUUAUAGAAAAGGAUUCUCUUUUAUUGAUUGUGAACACAAAGAAGAAGAAAUGCAACCUCGACAACGGAAAGAAAAUCAACAAGGAAAUCAACAAGAACAAAAUAAACGGCGUGAACGACCGCGACGACCAAGAAAAGUUGGUGGUAUUAACGUUGGUAAAGAUUUCCUCAACCUCAACAUGAAGAACUUGUCAAUUGUCACUUCAGCUGGAAUUGUCAGUGGAUUGUUGGCUGUUUUAUGGGAAUUAGCACACUUGUUUGAUAAACUUGAGCAAUAUAGGGAAGCAGUAGAAAUUUAUGAAACAUAUCUGGAGAUGGUCACAAAAGAUGAAGAUAUAGAAAAACAAACGACCGUCAUGGAGCGUCUGGUGCAAAUAUACGAUGAAGAAGAGCGUUAUUACUUAAGGGAUUCAAUGACAACAAGAUUACAAGAAGUUCAUGAAAGAAAAAAGAACCAAGAAUUGCAGCUGCAUGAAUGGAAAUACAAUGAUAAAUCGACAAAACAUAAAGAAUUGCUCUUAAAAUUAAUUGAGUAUGGGAAAGACCCUAAUGUUGAGGUUAAACAUGUGGACGAUGUACGUGUAAUUUUUAAAGAAGAGUUUUGCAUCGGUAGAGGAAGUGAUGGAACCCGUGUUUAUCUUGGACUGGGAAAGGAUGGUUACGGUAAAGCAGUGAAACGAAUUCUUCGUGAUAAUACUUAUUAGGCACAGCACGAAGAAAAAAUUUUUAAUGAAAUCAAUGCUAAGAAGUCGGAUUAUGUGCUAAAUUAUUAUUGCUUGAGACAAGAUACAGGAACAGAAUAUAUCCAUUUGAUUCUCAAUCUAUGUGAAGAAUCGUUGAAGGAAUACGUGGAAUCAAAUUCAAACAGUUUGGAUUACCUUCAAAACAUACUUCCCGACAUUCUUAAACAAAUUUUAAAAGGAUUAGUUGAUCUUCAUAGCGGUCCACGUCCCAUUCUUCAUCGAGAUUUGAAACCUUCCAAUGUUCUCCGAGACACACAAGGCAAAUUUUUGAUAGCCGAUUUUGGUAUUAGUCGAAUUAUGAAGAAUGACUCUCAGACACAUGUAAGCGCUGCUAAUAGGGGAACUCAGCAUUGGAUUGCCCCUGAAUCUUAUAUUGUUGAUGAAAAAUUAUUUGAUAAAGCACGUUACAAACCAGAGUCUGAUGUAAUGAAUGCAGGAAUGGUGGCUUACUUUGUUGCAACAAAAGGAAAACAUCCUUUUGGUACUAAAGUGUGCAUACUUCAAAAUUUGUUGGAUGGAAAACCUGUUGGCUUGAAGGAAAUCAGUAAUGUCGAACUAAAUGAUCUUCUUUCAUGGAUGCUACAACAUAAACCCGAACUCAGGCCAUCUGCAAAGGAGGCUUUAAAACACCCUUAUCUAUUAUCUGAUGAAAAAAAGUUUGACUUGCUGUGUGAAGUUGGGAAUCAACCGGAGAUAAAGAUACCGCGUUUAGAUCAUCCUCUCAGCUCAGAUGUCCAUGAGCAGUUAAAUGGUCUAAACAAUUGGAAGAUCCGUCUCAUUCAUGAAUUCGAUGAUCAUUUCAACAAGAAACUCUACGACUCUACAUGGUUAGGAUGCUUAAGAUUCAUACAAAACGUUGAUCAGCAUUGGCAUGAUGAGCAUCGUACAAAACUGUCACCAUAUAUCAAGGAAGGCAAUUAUAAAGAGUAUUUUGUACGGGUUUUACCAGAGCUUCCUCUUCUGGUGCACAGAAUCAUGAGGUUAAACGAAUGGAUCUUAAGACCUGAUAUGGAAAAACGUGUUCCUAUUCAAGAAUUGUUGCGUCAACCAUGGAAAUGUUUUGAUAAAUCAAUAAUGCAUCAGAAAAAGUUUAAAAGGAUGGAAGAAUAUGGACGCAAACAUCCAGAAAAUGUUACACUGCUCAGUGAAUUGCGUGUAAUUUUCAAGGAGGAGUUUUUGCUUGGUAAGGGAAGUGAUUGAACCCGUGUUUACCUUGCCCUGGGAAACGAUGUUUAUGGAAAAGCAGUAAAGCGAAUACGCAAAGAUAGCGGCGUAGACUAUGCAAAUCGAGAAAAAGAAAUUUUGAAUGGUCUUAAUGCAAAGCAAUCAAAUUAUGUUUUGAAUAUUUGGCAUUUAGAAGAGAACCUUGACGAAGAGUAUUUGUACAUGAUAUUGGAUUUGUGUGAAGAAUCGUUAGACAGUUAUGUGAAAUAUUAUACUUUGCAAGAUCUUCAAGAAGCACUUCCUACAAUUCUUAUGCAGAUUUUAAUAGGUUUAGCUGAUCUUCACAGCGGUGUGCAUCCUAUUCUUCAUCGGGAUUUAAGACCCUCGAACGUUCUUCGAGAUGUACAAGGAUGUUUUUUAAUCGCUGACUUUGGUAUAAGUCAUAUGUUAUCUGAUGAAACUUGGACACAUCAAAGCAUACAAAGAGGUUUUAAAAAUUGGAUAGCUCCAGAGUCAUAUGACGCAUCAGAUGAUACAAUUAAGAAAGUUCGUUACAAAAAAGAGUCUGACGUUAUGAAUGCCGGAAUGGUGGCUUAUUAUGUUGCAACAAAGGGAAAACAUCCUUUUGGAACGGCAUAUACUAGACAACAUUUUGAAUGGAAACCCAGUUGGAUUGGGCGAAAUCAAGGAUGCCACGUUCAAAGACCUUUUAUCGCGAAUGCUACAACAUUCACCAGAAGACAGACCAUCUGCCAAUGAGGCGUUAAAACACCCUUAUCUACAAUCAGACGAAGAGAAAUUUAACAUGCUGCGUGAUAUGGGGAACCAACUUGAGGUGAAACAUUCACAAAGUCAAAAUUCUCCCAUUUCAGACGUUUAUAAGCAGUUGUAUAGUUCCACGGAAUGGAUGAAGCGUAUUGAUGAUGAAGUCGUCAAAGAUUUGAUCAACUUUGAAGUGAACGACAGUAUAAGAACUCUAAAGUACGAGUCUACAUGGGCAGGAUGCUUAAGAUUUAUACGAAAAGUUGACCAACAUUGGCAAGAUAAGCCUCGUCCGCAUCUAUUACAAUAUGUGAAGCAAGGCAAUUAUAAAAGAUAUUUCCUGCAACGUUUUCCUGAACUUCCUCUUCUGGUGCACAAAGUCAUUAGCUCUACUCACUGGAAAAGUAAACCUGAUCACAAGAAGCAUUUUGACAAUGUAAUACAGGGUCUCGGAAAGAGUGAAGUCACUAAAAAAAUUCUUGAACAAGGAUUGCAAAAUUUAAGAGGACGUGCAUAAAAAAUUAAGAAGUUUUUCUUGGCUUUGUGGCAAUUAUGGCAUAGCUCGUCUGACUAGUGAGAUGCCAUAUCUUCAUUUGUACCUCAAAGUCAAUAAAGCAAAGACAGACGGCGUCUUGAGACUCGAAAUUGAUAAUACAUUAUUUUCCAAUGCUUCUGAGUUCAUUGAAUUACGCCAUAUCGAUCCAUCUUACGAAAUAAGAAUUCGACCGCUGUCCAACAUACCUCACUCCCAUGAUGGACAAAAACCAAAAAUCAUUAUAGUUAAUAAUAAUGAGCUUACUGCAGCUAAUUUAGAGAAGCAGAGCUCUUUUGAUGACGUGUACAAGUCGCUGUUAGAAAGACAAGAAAUACAAGAAGAGAUACGAGUUUAUAAAUUUGGUGACGAGAAGGGCGACAAAGUCGGCUCAAACAUCAUUGCUGACCUCAGUCAUAGCGUUCUUGACAACAACAAAAAAGAAGAAUUUCGCGACUUGGUAGCUGUAAAGAGUGAUUACGAAUUUAAAGACUUCUCUCGCCUGGGAUAAAUAGUUUAAUGAUAAAUAAUUAAGAACAUCGUGUAUUUGUUCAGGAUUUGUUUACACUAUCUACUCAUAAGUUUUAUUGUCUCGCUUUUAAAUUUAAUGACUUUUCAUUUAAACAUUUUCUCACUCGAUACUGAAGUCAUAUAAUUAAUUAUGUAAUAUAUACUGUGAAAAAUUGUAAUCUCCGCAAAUGGAUAUGAUUACUUAAGAUAUUUAUAAUGGGACUGAAAAUAUUACUAAUUCGAAUGUAUAGUCAUGUAGUGGCAAUGUAUCCCUCGCAAUACAUGGCAUUCAUCUUGUUAAAUGAAUUUAAAUUGUAUGUUCGUCAUUCGUAUUUUGUUAAAUAUAUGCAUGGCUGUGACUCAAAA